UACGUAGGGUGCGAGCGUUGUCCGGAAUUAUUGGGCGUAAAGAGCUUGUAGGCGGUUUGUCGCGUCUGCUGUGAAAAUCCGGGGCUCAACCCCGGACUUGCAGUGGGUACGGGCAGACUAGAGUGUGGUAGGGGAGACUGGAAUUCCUGGUGUAGCGGUGGAAUGCGCAGAUAUCAGGAAGAACACCCGUGGCGAAGGCGGCUCUCUGGGACGGUACUGACGCUGAGACGCGAAAGCGUGGGGAGCAAACAGG
rnacentral:rRNA from 1 species